rnacentral:sRNA from 1 species
ACCUGGAGCUGGAAUGCCCUCGACUGUUCUCCCGCUAAAACUCGGCGGGUCGAAUGGAGUUCCUACAUGGAUGAAUCUCAUCUGUAAUGGCCUUCAAGAAUGCCACUUCACGUUCCAGACGCACAUUAUCGGCAUGAACGGUGUUCGAGAGGUUGUUUGACUCCUCUUGUGCCAACUCUAAGCCUGCUAUCUUCUCCUUCAGCAUCUCAGCUUCUUUUUCCUUAUUGGCAAGCCUCCUUUCCAGCUGCUCCCUGCUGUUGAUGACCGACGAUAAAUUCUUCUCCGCCUGUUCUUUGCUCACCAAGGCAGUCGCAAGCUGGUCUUCAAGUGCAGAGCUUCUUUUGAUCAAGUCUACUAUUUUUGUAUUGUAUAGAUGACUAAUGUCUGAAGAGCAUCUUGCUAUCCUUCUUGCACUUGAUCCCGUGGUCUCCAGAUUUUCUUCCUUGCUGGAUAAAAUUCUGGCCAUGUUAAUCUGAGCAUCAAACAAUCAUCAGUGUCAUCGUACUUGUCAUCGUCGAUCGGUUUCUGCAGUUUUUGGGCUAAACUGCACGCUUCUGAUUGAUGGAACUGCCUGUGGAGUGAAGCGCCCAAAUUUGGAUUCUGUAACAAUGGCUCAGAGAGUAAUUCCCUUCUAGGUGGGUGUUCUACCGUAGAAGCGAGACUGUGCCUUGCAACAGAACUAUUGGAAUACAAAGGAGCACAGUUGUUAAGAUGGCUGGCAAGCUCCUUGGUGCUCGGAGAGUAUUCAUAUAGUAAAGGAUCUACAUCUGGUGCAGACCGCCUGCUAAAAGAAUGUUCAUUUUGCAUGUUGAUAUUUCACCUUGUCGGAUGGCUCCUUUCUGUUUCCUCCAAAAGCAACAAGAACAAUUUUGUCCCUGUGGUACAAAGGAACCAUACUGAAAUCUUUCUUUGUAGCAAUCGAGGAACUAGGGGGUACUACACAUACCGACCACUUAUAUUCUACAACAUCAAAAGCCCAGCUUGAAACAUACGUUUUUUCUUGCUUCCACCGCCAGCAAUGUACCACUUAGUUCCACAUAGAACUCCACUGCAACCGGCUCGAGGUGUUGGAUGAGGACCAUGGAUUUUCACUCUUGACCAUACCAUCUAACAAGAAGAUAACUAUAUCAUUCAGGGUCUUGGAUUUUGAGUGGCCUCCAAAAAUCAGAAGGAUCCUAUCUUCAUAUAGUGCAGCUACAUGAUUGGAUCUUGGAGAAGGUCCAGAGCCUCUACAUUCAAAGGUAGCCAUGUUGAUGACUUCAGGUCGAACAUGUGAAGGUCGUGUCGUUUCUUUCCUUUUGUGUCCUCACCACCAAAAAGUAUCAAUGUAGCACCUGCUCUGGUCACCGUGUGGCCACUCCGAGCUGCCUACAAACAGGAUAUCACCCUUGGCUUCCAUAAGUGACCAAACCUCUGUUUCCAUAUUGAAAGUCCACACUGCAGCAAGCCAAAGGAAAUUGACCUUUGCAUACCAACAGCAGUGAGAUACAAGAGAUAUACCAGACAAUGACCUUUGCAGGCUGGCAACUUUGACGGACGUCUGUUUGGCGAUGGACGGACCUUAGGAGCUACAGAGUCCCAUGUAAGCUUCUCUAAAUUCAAUAUCUUUGUAUCAUCCAACAAUUGAUCACCAGAAUCGCCACCAAACACUACCAUUUUGCUCCCUACAAGGGCUGCUGCAUGCUGUUUAAAAACAGGAGUUUGAUAUGUCAUAUGUGGAGUUGACAGCCCAGUUCCGUGAGCUAACCAAAGCGCGGUCGUCGAGAUCAUAUGUGUCAGAUGAGCAACGGAAGGCGAGAUCAUCUACACGGCCACUCACUGACGU